rfam:Streptomyces davawensis strain JCM 4913 complete genome
CUCGUCCGUCCCGUGGACGCCCUGACCAUCAGGUCCCGGUCCCGGCUACGCUGGCGGCGUGCGCCCACCGCGGAACCGAAUCGCAAGGGCGCAAAGCCGACAGCCGUCGCACCUCAGGGAGCCCUUACAUG